CACGCCCCCUCCCUGAUCCCCAACCUCCCCCGAUCCAGCGCCAUCGAGCUCUCGCCCCCUGCCACAACCCCCGCGCCGCUGGCCUGGCUCCCGACCACCGCCGCGGCACCAUCCCAACCGACGCGCCGCCGUCCCGGCUCCUCACCACCUCCCCUCGAGGCGCCGCUACGCCUCCCACCUGGAUCCCCCUCGCUCUGGAUCCCGCCUAGUCCUGCCUCCACACUUCGCCCCACUCGUAGUGGCGCCGCCGCCAUCGCCGACCAUCGCGCCACCGAAGCCUCACGAGCUUGCCUCCAAAAGCUUGCGAUCUACUGAGCCAGAGAGCAUCGGCCGCCGCCGCGGCUGGUGAUCGGACGCCUCCAGUGUCGCGCACCCUGAACCACCAGCACGCGCCAUGGAUGCCCACACCAACCCACGUCCGCACAUGGAGGCCUCAUAGCAGCACCUUCAAUGUGGAUUGGGCGCUACCUGCAGCUGAAGGUGGCAUCGGCCUGCAGCUGGACGGAGCAUCGACCUGCAGCUCGCCGCGCACACCACUGCGACCCACUACCACCACGGUCCACCACCUACAACCGGCGCUGUAGCACCUAGGCCGUUCAACUAUGCCACCUCAGGCCAUUCAACCCCACACCGUGCUCCUCGUGGAUGACCCCGCCGUCGUCGACUCCAUUCACUUCCUUCCGCUGUAUGCGGCCAGCUCUAUGACUUACUCGCCUGUACUCUAUCUAGGGGAACGCUGUGAGCUCGUCAGGCUAUGGCUGCUUCUCUGCUGUGACGAUGAGGAUGCACCACUCUGCCUUCCGUAUUCGGUUUAGUAGCAGCAGUCCCCUACUAUUUGGUGUUUCGCCCCUCAUUUAUGCUCAAAAGUGUGUGUCUCUAGGAUCCUCCGUGCCACUCUGCUGCUUGCUACCCACAUGAACAGAGGGAGGGAGAAGUUCACCACAUGGCAGCGGAGAAGGUCACACAUUAGGUGAAGGGGACCGGGGUGUCGUCAUUCGGAAGAUGUUCUGAGCUCAUGAAGAUGGUUGUCAUUCCUGAGAAUUAGUGUUGUUGCUGGGAUGCAGUGGUGCUUCUUGUGAGGCCGCGUCCAGCUUGUGUCCUCCUCUGCCUGGGCGUCUGCCUCUGCAUCACGGUGCAACUUCUCUGUCCAUCUAAGAAAAAAAGAUCUCCCUCCUGUAGUUCUUUGCAUCUACUACAGAAAAAAUGCAUUGGCAGUAGAAGUUCAUGAAUAGCUAGAAAGGAACAACUAUAGCUCUCUCUAUGCACAUGUUGUGUUUGGAGAGGCACAAUUUAAAUUUUGAUUUUGGGCUUGGAUGUACGAGGUGUAUGACGAAGGUGAGACAGUGAAGUGAAGUCCAUUUGGACAUGUGAAAUUUUGUGAGGCAUAAGAAGGGAAUAAGAUCGGUA